rnacentral:rRNA from 1 species
AGUGAACGCUGGCGGUAGGCCUAACACAUGCAAGUCGAACGGCAACACAGUAAGAGCUUGCUCUUCCGGGUGGCGAGUGGCGGACGGGUGAGGAAUACAUCGGAAUCUACUUUUUCGUGGGGGAUAACGUAGGUAAACUUACGAUAAUACCGCAUACGCCCUACGGGUGAAAGCAGUGGAUCUUCGGACCUUGCGCGAUUGAAUUAGCCGAUGUCGUAUUAGCUAGUUGGCGGGGUAAAGGCCCACCAAGGCGACGAUCCGUAGCUGGUGUGAGAGGAUGAUCACCCACACUGGAGCUGAGACACGGUCCAGACUCCUACGGGAGGCCGCAGUGGGGAAUAUUGGACAAUGGGGGCAAGCAUGACCCAGCCAGACCGCGUGUGUGAAGAAGGCCUUCGGGUUGUAAAGCCCGUUUGUUGGGAAAGAAAAGCAGCAGGUUAAUACCACGCUGUUCUGACGGUACCCAAAGAAUAAGCACCGGCUAACUUCGUG